CUGCGUCCUGCUGCUUGGGCUGCUCCCAGCCACUUUCGUGCUGUCCCCGCCCUGACUGCUGACUCCGCAGCCAAUGGGAGCUCCCAGCCAAUGGUGCCUGCUGCAGACCCCCGGUCCUCCCCGCCUAGAAGCUGCUGCCGGAGGGGUGUGUUGCCCGAGGAGGAGGAUAAAGGAAAAAAGAAUGAAAAAACAGAGGGA